rnacentral:rRNA from 1 species
GAUGAACGCUAGCUACAGGCUUAACACAUGCAAGUCGAGGGGUAACGAGAGGAAAGCUUGCUUUCCUUGUCGACGACCGGCGCACGGGUGAGUAACGCGUAUCCAACCUGCCCCCAACUAGGGAAUAACCUUGCGAAAGUAAGACUAAUACCCUAUAAUUUCCUCAGAUGCCAUCUGACGAGGAAUAAAGAUUUAUCGGUUGUGGAUGGGGAUGCGUCUGAUUAGCUUGUUGGCGGGGUAACGGCCCACCAAGGCAACGAGCAGUAGGGGUUCUGAGAGGAAGGUCCCCCACAUUGGAACGGAGACACGGUCCAAACUCCUACGGGAGGCAGCAGUGAGGAAUAUUGGUCAAUGGGCGGAAGCCUGAACCAGCCAAGUAGCGUGCAGGAUGACGGCCCUAUGGGUUGUAAACUGCUUUUAUACAGGAAUAAAGUUAGCCACGUGUGGUUAUUUGUAGGUACUGUAUGAAUAAGGACCGGCUAAUUCCGUGCCAGCCGCCGCGGUAAAAC